rnacentral:lncRNA from 1 species
UUCCAGAUAUGCUUGUAGAACGGAUCGGAAGUAUUCGUUCGUACCUUUUGCAGAAGCGACUUGCGCUAGAACACGACGAACCCGGAUCGUAGAGGUUGAUUCACAUAUUCUCGGAUCGUCAAUUUGCAACCAAGGUGGAGCUUGCAUGGUGAGCUCGACGUAGCGGUUGAAGACUACAAAUGCAACUAAGGUGGAGAAUGUUAAAAUUUGGUUAGAUUUGUAGAUUAAUUCUAGUUGGAUAAUAAUUAAUAUUUAAAUCUGUUGGAAAUAAAUUAAGAUUUAAAAUAUUAAUUAGAAUAUAAAUCUAACUAGAUUAUGAUAAAUAUUUAAAUCUAUUGGAGAAAAUGAUAUAUAGAUUUAAAUAUUUAUUGGAGUAGGAAUUCUAAUUAUAUUAGAAGUUGGGCACGUUUUUGUGGACGCUAUAUAUAUAGCAUUAAGGGCUUGAAUUAAUUAAGCAAAAAAGAGGCUGAGAAAGUACGGCUGCCAGAGAGAACCUUGGGUGUGCCGUACCACAGAGAGAGAGAGAGAGAGAGAGAGAGUUAGUGAGUUGAGUGCACCUAAUGCAUAUGUGCACAUGAAGGGUUGUUUUUUAGGUUUAUAAAAGACGAGAGAAGUUUCAUGUCUUUUAGGUUUUAAACUUAAAAGACGAGAGAACAGUAAGAGAGAUUCAAAAAGAGGGCUCUGGUUGUAACUACUCAGUUGCAAAAAAAGAGUCAGGUGUAAUUUUUUCUUAUUUAAUGAAUCUUAUUUUUUCGCAUAUUUUAUGUUUGGUUGUUUUUCUCUCUUUUAUGAUUGUAUUAGCUUUUGCUAAGAAGAUCAAUUUAUGGUAAAAAUUCGAUUCGACGCUUCUGUUGCGAAAUCCUAACAAUCGAUACCGAAUUCACAGCAGUCGAUAUCGGAGCGGGUUGUGGAUUCUCAAAAUCGGGUACCGGAGCAAGUACUGUAUUCCAAACGGAACCGAAUACACUCCAU